UUCUAUUUUUUCAUGUGUUUUACGUGUAGACUUUGUUUUCAUAAAAUAUAAUUGAGUGAUUUUGUUUCAGAUUUCAGAGUCCCCCGCCUGCUCUGAACAUGGUGUUUCUUUGUUUCUGCUACACAUGUGUGUUUCCUCACCCCCAACAAAUACCUUCCUUCAACUGCUAAUUCUGUCAACAAUGCUUGAAACUUCUCUGCUACUACUCGUUGUGUUCGAUUUUUUUUUGCCUUUUAAGUCUUUAAAUACCAAAGAAAAUGUACAAGAUCAAGACCUCUAGACUAUAUGAUUUCAAGACCGCCAUAUCAUUUAAGGACUCACCCAGUAAUUCCUCUGAAGAUGCUAUCACUUGGGGACCUCAUUUCAGGAUUUCUUUUGAGGACUAUCAAGUCAUCAAGGUUUCAGUUGAAUAAAUUCAGCUGCCAACUUCUGAACUUAAAUUGAUUGAUGAAAGUCUCCUUGAACUCCUGAACCAGACAAAUGCACCCUCUACAAUAUACAUCUUACAGGAGACAAUGGCGGCAGAAAGAUCAUCUAUCUCAUUGAUGCCUGUCUGAAAGCCUGCCAAGGAUCUUACGAAUGGUUUUCUUGCCUGUUCUCUUCCUCUAAUAAGGGAAAAACUGUCCUGGCUAUUUUCCUAACUGUGCUCUCAGUAGGAAUUAUAGUGUUGCUAAUACUCUCACGUUUUAUGUGUUACAGAUGUUACCUCACUCAUAUGACAAGCUCCAAAGAUACACACCAUCAUCAAAUGGCUGUCUUAUGCUCUGGAUCAUUCCCGUCUGUGAAGUUUUACCAUGUCCUCUUAGAUAGGCCCUCCUCUGAGAAAGAACACAUAAAAUUUUUCCUCUUCAUGGAGUUUUGAGUUACUGUCCAUAAACACAAUAAUGUAUAACAAAUUUCUAGUACUUGAUUUAUUU